rnacentral:rRNA from 1 species
GACAGAGGUGCCGAGCGUUAGGCGGAAUCACUGGGCUUAAAGCGUGUGUAGGCGGAGCGUUAAGUGCCUUGUGAAAUCCCACGGCUCAACCGUGGAAUGGCUGGGCAUACUGGCGGCUCUUGAGCCAUCCAGGGGCGACCGGAACAAACGGUGGAGCGGUGAAAUGCGUAGAUAUCGUUUGGAACGCCAACGGUGAAAACAGGUCGCUGGGGAUGCGCUGACGCUGAGACACGAAAGCCAGGGGA